UGCAGCUGUUAAGGAUGGUGGACU
rnacentral:piRNA from 1 species